CCUACGGGUGGCAGCAGUGGGGAAUAUUGGACAAUGGGGGCAACCCUGAUCCAGCCAUGCCGCGUGUGUGAAGAAGGCCCUCGGGUUGUAAAGCACUUUCAGUGAGGAAGAACGCCUGGUGGUUAAUACCCAUCAGGAAAGACAUCACUCACAGAAGAAGCACCGGCUAACUCCGUGCCAGCAGCCGCGGUAAUACGGAGGGUGCGAGCGUUAAUCGGAAUUACUGGGCGUAAAGCGCGCGUAGGUGGCUUGAUAAGCCGGUUGUGAAAGCCCCGGGCUCAACCUGGGAACGGCAUCCGGAACUGUCAAGCUAGAGUGCAGGAGGGGAAGGUAGAAUUCCCGGUGUAGCGGUGAAAUGCGUAGAGAUCGGGAGGAAUACCAGUGGCGAAGGCGGCCUUCUGGACUGACACUGACACUGAGGUGCGAAAGCGUGGGUAGCAAACAGGAUAAGAUACCCUAGUAGUC
rnacentral:rRNA from 1 species